rnacentral:rRNA from 1 species
AUGAUUGCUCUUAUCGGUAUGGCUCCUACCGAGGAGGAGGGAGAAGAGAAGAAGAAGAGGGAAAGGAAGGCAGCCGGAGCUGCUUUCACGUGGAUUCAAAAUAACUUUGCGACGUGCCCUCCGGAUGCAACUGAUGAUGUGAUCCAGACACAUGCUCGUGUGUAUAUGUGGUACAUUGUGUCGAGGACUUUGUUUCUUGACUCCACUGGCAAGAACGCUCCAUGGAUGUGGCUGAAGGCGUUGACCGUCUUCGAUAGCAAAUGGAGCUGGGGUUCAGCGACUCUUGCCUACUUGUACCGACAGGUAGUUGGUCUGUUUUGUGAUCAACUCAUUUAUUCAUUAGCAAUGCAAGCUUGCUGUCAAGUUAACAUUGUUUUUCUUUCAUAUGUAGCUGGAUGA